AUUAGCCGAUCCAAGCAAAUAUCGAAGAUUAGUUGCCAAGCUACUAUACUUGACGAUCACCCGUCCAGAUAUCUCAUUUGCUGUAAGUGUAGUUAGCCAAU